rnacentral:rRNA from 1 species
CAGUAGCCGCGGGAAUACGAAGGGGGCUAGCGUUGCUCGGAAUGACUGGGCGUAAAGGGCGCGUAGGCGGUUUUGACAGUCAGAUGUGAAAUUCCUGGGCUUAACCUGAGGGCUGCAUUUGAGACGUCAAGACUAGAGUGUGAGAGAGGGUUGUGGAAUUCCCAGUGUAGAGGUGAAAUUCGUAGAUAUUCGGAGGAACACCAGUGGCGAAGGCGGCUCACUGGUCCAUUACUGACGCUGAGGUGCGAAAGCGUGGGGAGCAAACAGGAUUAGAUACCCCAGUAGUCCCUGUCUCUUAUAC